rnacentral:rRNA from 2 species
CCGAGUUGUAAUUUGUAGAGGAUGCUUCGGGUGCGACCGCGGUCUAAGUCCCCUGGAACGGGGCGUCGCAGAGGGUGAGAAUCCCGUCUUCGGCCGGCCGGCCGCGCCCGUGUGAAGCUCCUUCGACGAGUCGAGUUGUUUGGGAAUGCAGCUCUAAAUGGGUGGUAAAUUUCAUCUAAAGCUAAAUACUGGUCGGAGACCGAUAGCGCACAAGUAGAGUGAUCGAAAGAUGAAAAGCACUUUGAAAAGAGAGUUAAACAGCAUGUGAAAUUGUUGAAAGGGAAGCGCUUGCGACCAGAGUCGGCCGCGGGGGUUCAGCGGGCAUUCGUUGCCCGUGCACUCCCCCGGGGCCGGGCCAGCGUCGGUUUCGACGGCCGGUCAAAGGCCCCCGGAAUGUGUCGCCUCUCGGGGCGUCUUAUAGCCGGGGGUGCAAUGCGGCCAGUCGGGACCGAGGAACGCGCUUCGGCACGGACGCUGGCUUAAUGGUCGUAAGCGACCCGUCUUGAAACACGGACCAAGGAGUCUAACAUCCACGCGAGUGUUCGGGUGUCAAACCCGUCCGCGCAGUGAAAGCGAACGGAGGUGGGAACCCUCAAGGGUGCACCAUCGACCGAUCCUGAAGUCUUCGGAUGGAUUUGAGUAAGA